AACGCACAUUGCGCCUUUUGGUAUUCCAAGAGGCAUGCCUGUUUGAGCGUCAGUGAAUUCUCCAAAGCAACUUUUCUUUUCUUUGUGGAAUGAAUGUGUUGUUAUGGGUGAUGGAUGUGAAUAGAAAAUAGUAAUAUUGGAUGUUCUCAUUUGAAAUGUAUGGGCGUAAGCAGCUCCUAGCCUUUUUGGUGUGAUAGGUUUAUCCAAUUCACUAAAACGGGAGCAAGCAGUGCCAAAACUAAAUUUGAAAGCUGAGGAAGGGAGUGGAUUUGUAUUUAUAUAAUAUCCCUCUCGACUUCAAUUCAAAUGACUGACAUCUUGACCUCAAAUCAGGUAGGAAGACCCGCUGAACUUAA
rnacentral:rRNA from 1 species